GGAACUUAUACAUAGCCACAAUGCCAUUAUUACUUCUAAGAAAAUUCACCAUAAUUUUUGCAUUCCCACUAGCAAUGAAUGAGAGUUCCUGUUGCUCCGUAUCCUCGCCAGCAUUUGGUAUUAUCAAAAGGAGAAGCUUUCUCCUUUCUCCAUGUGAGACGGCCUCUGUCAAAUUCUUUCCUCUAAAGCAGCUUCUACCAUGGCAAAACCCCAUCUCUACUAAAAAUACAAAAGAUUAGCUGGGCAUGCAGGUGCAUGCCUGUAAUCCCAGCUACUCAGGAGGCUGAGGCAGGAGAAUAGCUUGAAGCCAGGAGGUGGAGGUUGCAGUGAGCCCUAACCCUGCCACUGCACUCCAGCCUGAAUGACAGAGUGAGACUGUCUCAAAAAAUAAAAUAAAAUAAUGAAGAAAUAACCAUAAAAAUAGCCAGUGAGCAGCCCAUGCUGGUGUUCUGCCUAUGCACUGGCUUUCAUGCACGUCCGUGUAAAGAGACCACCAAGAGGCUCUGUGUGAGCAACAAGACGGUUUAUUUCACUUGGGUGCAAGUGGGCUGAGUCCAAAAAGAGACUCAGCAAAGGGUGGUGGGAUUAUCAUUAGUUCUUAUAGGUUUGGGAUAGGCAGUGAAGUUAGGAGCAAUUUUUUGCAGGCAGGGGUUGGAUCUUACAAAGUACAUUCUCAAGGGCGGGGAGAAUAUUACAAAGUACCUUCUUAAGGGUGGGGAGGGUGUAUCCUACAAAGUACCUUCACAAGGGCAGGGGAAUAUCACAAAGUACAUUAUUGCAAGGGUGGGGAAGGUGUAUUGUCACAAAGUUAAUUGAUCAGUUAGGGUGGGGCAGGAACAAAUCACAAUG
rnacentral:lncRNA from 1 species